rnacentral:lncRNA from 1 species
CCACAGGCCGCCUGGUGAGCCCCGCAGCCUCACCCACGUGGGGAGGGGCUGCUGAGGCCUCCUUGCCUUUCUUGGUGGGCGCCCUACGCCUCGGGGGUCCUACCCUCCUCUUCUGUGCAGCCCCAACAUGGCUUCGCCCCCUUCUCCAAACUUCUGCCUUGGGCCAUGGGGCACAGGCCGUGGGGAUGCUGUCUGCCUGCUUUAGAGAAACCUGGGCACCGAUGACAAAUACAGGCUCUGCUUGGCCUGUGGGACGGUUGCAUCCUGGGCCUUCCGGUGGUGUCAGGAGACUCCAGGCCCUUGAAAGGCAGCUGCGACCCCGGGUAUGACUCGGACAAGUCCAGGAGCAGGAAAUGGGCUGCAUUCCUUCGGGGCCCCUCCUUGCACCCCAGCCCCUCCCUGGGAGAGCUGCCCUGAGUCAGGGAAAGUGCCGCCCUGGCCAGACCCUCAGCAGAUGCCGCCCACAGGACAGUCAGCGUUUUCAAGCAUGGGAAGGAAAAUAAACACGAGGUUAAAAAGGGGUCUGUUGGCCCCGGGCUGGUUUGUUUUUCCUGUGUAAGGGAGGCAACGGGAAUGAGAACCAUCUGUGCCCUGAGCGCAGCGCAAGCUGCCUGCUGGGCCCACGUGCCCUCCCCGAAAGACCACAGAAGCCAGGCAGAGCCUUGCUCCCUUCCAGCCGGGGCCGUGGC